CUUGUACUCCCUCCGUGCAAAAAUACUUGUCAUUGAAAUGGAUGUAUCUAGAUGUAUUUUAGUUCUAGACACAUCCAUUUUGAUGACAAGUAAUUCCAGACGGAGGGAGUACUUG
rfam:Triticum aestivum genome assembly, contig: Triticum_aestivum_CS42_TGACv1_scaffold_041002_1BL